rnacentral:rRNA from 1 species
AACGAACGCUGGCGGCGUGUUUAAGACAUGCAAGUCGUACGGCGUGAUUGAGGUAGCCAUACAUCGGCCAUCCAGUGGCGCACGGGUGAGUAACCCGCGAAUGACAUACCCUGCAGAGGGGGAUAGCCCAGGGAAACUUGGAUUAAUACCCCACGGUAUCGAGAGAGUGAAGGUGGCCGAGAGGCCGUGGCUGCGGGAUGGGUUCGCGUCCUAUCAGCUAGUUGGCGGGGUAAGGGCCCACCAAGGCUACGACGGGUACCUGGUUUGAGAGAACGAUCAGGCACACUGGAACUGAGACACGGUCCAGACACCUACGGGUGGCAGCAGUCGAGAAUAAUUCACAAUGGGGGCAACCCUGAUGGUGCAACGCCGCGUGGGGGAUGAAGGUCUUCGGAUUGUAAACUCCUGUCAUCCGGGAGUAAGACCUGGCUGUGAAUAGCAGACAGGGUUGAUAGUACCGGAAGAGGAAGGGACGGCUAACUUCGUGCCAGCAGCCGCAGUAA